UAGAGUUUGAUUCCCUGCUCAGGACGAACGCUGGCGGCGUGCCUAAUACAUGCAAGUCGAGCGGACUUGUAGGAGCUUGCUCCUGCAGGUUAGCGGCGGACGGGUGAGUAACACGUGGGCAACCUACCUAUAAGACUGGGAUAACUUCGGGAAACCGGAGCUAAUACCGGAUGACAUAAAGGAACUCCUGUUCCUUUAUUGAAAGAUGGCUUCGGCUAUCACUUACAGAUGGGCCCGCGGCGCAUUAGCUAGUUGGUGAGGUAACGGCUCACCAAGGCGACGAUGCGUAGCCGACCUGAGAGGGUGAUCGGCCACACUGGGACUGAGACACGGCCCAGACUCCUACGGGAGGCAGCAGUAGGGAAUCUUCCGCAAUGGACGAAAGUCUGACGGAGCAACGCCGCGUGAACGAUGAAGGCCUUCGGGUCGUAAAGUUCUGUUGUUAGGGAAGAACAAGUGCUAGUUAAAUAAGCUGCACCUGACGGACCACCAAAGC
rnacentral:rRNA from 1 species